rnacentral:lncRNA from 1 species
UACAUAUAAAUAUGUAAGCCAGUGGUACAGACAGAUAAGUCAGUUCUGCAUAAACAGUACACUGAAUUUGUGUAUUUUGUGUAUUUGCAGCCAAUUUGUGUUUGAAACAGAAUCUGACUAAAAAUAAAUAUUGUAUAUAUGUAUAUAUAUGUCAAAUUUUUAAUUGCAUUCAUUAACUACUGGAACUUUGUUAAAAUAUAAUUUGAAAAAUAAUUUAUUUUUAUGUUAGAUUUAUUUUUGUAACAAAUAAUCAUAAUAUACUCUAAAAAGAGGCAAAGAAGUAUUUCCCAAAUCCAAAUUUUAAACUGAUUUAGCAUGGAAAGUGCCUGAUUUUCUUGCUUGCUCCUUUGCUGUUUAACAAGUUACUGGUCUGCUUCCUGUCUGAGGCUGAUCUGCUGCUUCUCCCUGAUUUUUCAUCAGUUGUGAGAAGGGGGUUGACUGGGUGUGAUUGAAACCUGUGAUAAAGCGCAGCGGGACUUUUCCUUCAGAUGUAUAUUUUUGAUGUUGCUUUUCAACUACCCGCUCAAAGGAAAACCAGAGUGAGUUCAAAAGAUGACAAUGGAGUCUGAAUACCUAGAACUGCAUUUUAUUAUCAAGGUUUGAAAGUUAAUUUUUGUCCCUCUAUGUAAUAGAUGAAAGUGCAAAGUUAAAAAACAUUUAUUGACUUGUUCAAGAUUCACACCUAGUUGGUUACACAGCCUCUCCUAGGCACAGCUGUGCUACAUGCUAUCGGAAUUCCUUAUCUUCAUCAGUAUGAUUCAUCAUAGUUGCAAUGAAUAUACCAAUCUAAAAUAUACAAUAUGCAAUUGUGUAUCAUUAAUUAUAUAAAAUGUAUGAUAGUAAUAUACUGAUAAAAUUAAUAUCCCAAAUAUGUUAAAUUAUAUUAAUGUAAUUAAUAUAUCCAUAUAAGUAUAUACAUAUAUUAUUAGAAUAUAUAGUAUAAUAUAUAUUAGUAUGAUCCUUGGUUGCUAUCUGAUGAAAGCAUUUAUGAGUGACCUCAGAAAUCCAAAUAUUUGUAUUAUUCAAGGUAAAAUAAAGAGCUGAAUCAGUGGUUUCAGAACUUCAUAGAUCAAG